GACGAACGCUGGCGGCGUGCCUAAUACAUGCAAGUCGAACGAGAGCGACCGGUGCUUGCACUGGUCAAUCUAGUGGCGAACGGGUGAGUAACACGUGGGUAACCUGCCCAUCAGAGGGGGAUAACAUCCGGAAACGGAUGCUAAAACCGCAUAGGUCUUCGAGCCGCAUGGCUUGAAGAGGAAAAGAGGCGCAAGCUUCUGCUGAUGGAUGGACCCGCGGUGCAUUAGCUAGUUGGUGAGGUAACGGCUCACCAAGGCCGUGAUGCAUAGCCGACCUGAGAGGGUGAUCGGCCACAUUGGGACUGAGACACGGCCCAAACUCCUACGGGAGGCAGCAGUAGGGGAUCUUCCGCAAUGGACGCAAGUCUGACGGAGCAACGCCGCGUGAGUGAAGAAGGUUUUCGGAUCGUAAAACUCUGUUGUUAGAGAAGAACAAGUGCUAGAGUAACUGUUAGCACCUAGA
rnacentral:rRNA from 1 species